UACGGGAGGGUGCGAGCGUUGUCCGGAAUCACUGGGCGUAAAGGGCGCGUAGGCGGCCUGAUAAGUAGGGGGUGAAAUCCUGCGGCUUAACCGCAGGGCUGCCUUCUAAACUGUCAGGCUAGAGCACAGUAGAGGCAGGUGGAAUUCCCGGUGUAGCGGUGGAAUGCGUAGAGAUCGGGAAGAACGACAGUGGCGAAGGCGGCCUGCUGGGCUGUUGCUGACGCUGAGGCGCGACAGCGUGGGGAGCAAACAGG
rnacentral:rRNA from 1 species